GGCAUUCAGAAUCUGGUGAAAAAGUCUUCCAGGAGCAGCUAACAAGAAUCCUAAUACAGCAGUGUUGAUGGUUGGGUUGAGACACAUUCAGGAGCAAGACAUGAGGUUAAUAAUUAUCAAAUAUAUGGCAAUGCUAGACUUUAGUUGAUCAUCGUGCUUCUGGAAAAUAACAAAAGUUGAGAUAUCUGUUCACCAUUUUGUGUGUCCAAGGACCACCUACUUUUUACAUAUGACAAGAACUACCCACCUCCACUCUUCAGAUUGCCAUUUCAGGACACCUCCUACAUCUGAGGAAAUAUGUAUUGAUCUUGAAAUAUUUUUCUCCUCCAAAUAAAAGUCAGUAUGAUAACAACUACACUAUCAGAAGUCUAAGCCAAAGGACACUUCAGUUAUCCAAUCUUGCAACAAAGUCAUUUAAGCACCUAAUAUGGGCGACUGUUGGUUCUAGGGGCAUUGAGAACUUCAGAUUUGAUUAACACCCAAGAGCUGCUACCAUAAAAUAAACUAGGCAGCUACUAGGCAAUAAGAUGAGGCACAUGUGUAAAACUUCUGCUUUUAGCUUGGUGAAGAGUGGUUACACAGCCAUUAUUACAAAAAUUGCAUUUUUCCACAAAUAAAGACAUCACUUGUCUAGAGAGUAUAUACUGCCAUUUGCUUUUGUCAUUUAAGAAGUGCUCAGUAGAGAAUUUAAUAUAAACUUUUAUUAAAAAGCAACUGUGAUUUACUAUCAAAGGCAAUACAGACACGUCAUUGAAAAAAGGAAGAUUCUUAAACCUCCUUAGGGACCAUCCAGAUGCAUUAUACUCUUCAAUAGUUCGUUCUUUCUUUUCCAGGCCUUUCUUCAUUUACCACCCUUCCCCUACUGGUAGGAGAGAGAUUAGAGGCAUUAUUUUUUUCUUCCACAGUCAGAUAAUGUUGUUAUUGUUGCAGUAACUUUUAUUUGUCUUCUCAAAUCUCACUAAGACUUUUUUCAACCUUUUUCAGAGAUAAAUCAAUUAUCUGCAACCUCCAAAAUAUUUUAUUUAAACCCAUCACAUUUAUUCAUGUUUGUUUCUAGCUAUUCUGAGACAUAGAUUAUGUUAGUAUUUCCGUAACAAUUUCUUACACAAAAUGUAAUACAAAAAAUACGUAUUUAACACAUAAAAGGAGCUUCUUAAUAACUAUUCAGACUUCAGUUAAUUCUAAACUUUAUGUAAACAUUAAAAUGAACUCAAUAUGUGUAGACAUAUUAUGUUUUCUUAGGCUAUUCAUUUUUUUUUGCAACAUUUAGCAAAUGAAUAGGAUAGCACAGUGCUUUUUCAUACUUCUUAAGAAUUUUAUGUCAUUGGCCUUACUUUUCUGGUAACUUGUUUUCUAGUAUAUUCAUUAGCAACUUCCUGGUACAACAUAUCUGAAAAUGCUUGACAAUUAAAAUAACAAUAACAACUUUUUAUAUGAAUUCAUAAGCAGAAAAGUACGAAGAAAAGUCAGAGUCCAGAAACUAUGGGAAAUCAUAAAUUAAAAAUGAUUUUCAAACAUUAGAGUUGAUGCUGCCUCCGGGUCAUCUGUCAGUCUCUAAGUUACCUACAGCUUACAAAUAGAAGACAAAAUUUGAGACCAUGCAGAAUAGUAGAUCUUAUCAAAGAGUAUGCAUAAAACCAGGAUUAACAAAUGUAAAGAAAAUAUAAUUCUUCUACAGAAGAAAAUAAAAUUUUUACUUAUUUUUUCUUUAAAUUCUAAGUGUGUGUGUCGUACACACACACACUCACACACACAAAAUUCGAAUAGCAAUCUUACCUUCAUGUGAAUUUCAGGACCUAGUUUACACUAUCACCAUGUUCUAAACAGCUCCACAAUGGCUAUAUAAUUUAAAUUUUAAAAUUACUGCUUUGUCAUCAUUCAGACAACUAGCAAACAAAAAAUUUAAAAAUAUUUUUAGAGAAAAUUAUUUUUAAAAGUUUAAUAGUUUUUUUUAGAAUUAAAUUUCCUCAACAUCAGUCUCUGAAGCAUAAAGAAACAAAGUACCACAAAUGAUAGUAAAAAUGAAUAUAGCAGAAUCAGACCCACAUGAACAGCAGAUACAAAAAUAAAAUAAAAGCAACAUGUCUUCAGGUUCCUAGGAGAAAUGGAUCUAUAUUUAUAUACACAUAUAUACAGAAAGAAAUGUAUUGUAAGAAAUGAGCUCAUGUAGUUAUAGAGGCUGAGAAGUCUCCAGAUGUGCAGUCAGAAAGCUGCAGAGCCAAAAAAAAACAAACAGCAUAGUUUUAUUUGGGUCUGAUGCCCUGAGAUUAAGGAGCACUGAAGGCGUAAGUUCCAGUCUGAGUCUUAGUCCAAAGGCAAGAGAAAACUCUUAUCUCAAGGACAGUCAGGCAAAGGAGCAAAUUCUUCCUUACUCAACCUAUUGUUGAGGCCAUCGAUAGAUUCAAUGAGGCCUACCCAUGUUGGGGAAGGCAAUCUGCUUCACUGUCUUUUGAUUCAAAUAUUAUUCUCAUUAAGAAACACUUUCACAGAUACAGCUAGAAUAAUGUCUCAUCACAUCUCUGGGCACCCCAUGUGCCAGUCAAAUUUACACAUAAAAUUAAAUAUCACACAAUAUUUAAUAGAAAUAAAGAAAUAAAGUAGGAAUUGAAAAAUAUGAUAGGAAAAAAUUAGGGUACGAAAUAUAAAAAUGAGGCUAUAGGGUAGAUUUGAUUGAAAAUUCAAAACCAUAAAUAAGAGAAACAAAUUUAUAAAUUCUGUAGGGGGCAUGUGAAAUCAAUGUGAUCACACAUCUUGAUAAAGUAUUUUACAUGUGGAAAGAAAAACACUCAUUCAACAUAAGGUAAAUUUGUAAGAUAGAAACAAUAGAUAAAAUAACUUGGAACUAAUAUUCUAGGUAAUAUCAACAUAAGGGAAGAUGAAGGGCAAUGAUACAAGACUGAAACAAAUAUUUGCUUUUUUUAUGAGCAGUUAAUUAGAAAUAUGUCCUUUUUUAAAAGUGAAGAAGAGAAAAAAUGAAACAUUAAAAAAACUUAGAGAAUUUAAAACAUACAUAUAGUUAAGAAAAUGAUUAUAUUCUGAACAGUAUAAACAUAAAGGACUACAAAUUAGACCAAUAAAAUUAAAAUCGGGUUAUCUAAAAAUGAGAACAACUUAAAAGCAUCAAAAAGAUAAGAUAGAUCACUUAAAGAGUAAUAAAUAGACUUACAGAAUACUUCACAAAAGCAGCAACGAAAGUUUAAAAAAGGGAAGGAAUAUUCUCAACAUGCUUUGAGAAAUAGAUGUUAAUAUUGAAUUCUAUAUCCACUAAAACUAUCAAUUCAAGGGGGAGACAAAAAAUUAUAUUAAAUUCCAACUGAGAGUCACUAGGGGAAUUUUUAAAAGGUAUAGUUCUGAGAUUAAAGAAUAGAUUGUGAAAAAUAUCUUUCUGGUUAGAAUGAGAUAACGGGGACAAUAUUUGGCCCCCAUUUGAAACAACCAAAUAUGGAAAAAAGAAAAUAAAUGUCAGUUCUCAAGAAAUAGAAUUUGAGACAACAAAGGAGAGAAAUCUUUAAAGUAUGGGAGCAAAGGACUUGAGCCUUAUCAACUCACUGCAUUGACCCAGUUUCCAAGCCAUGAUGGUAGAUUCAAGCAAGUCUGCCAAACUGCCUGAGUUAAAGAGAGAGAGCUGAGCAUUCAGGUAGACCAAGACUGCUAGUAUUUGCUAGUUGGAAAAUGCCAGAAUGUUUUAAAAGAAUGAUACUUCAGGAGAUACAUGGGUUUGUCUGAAUAGUGUGAGAUUGGUUUAUCAUUACAAAAUUACAAUGCGCUUCAUUAUAUAAAAAUCUAAAAAAAACCUAUUUAUCUUAAUGUAUAUAAUUAUUACAUAGUUUCCAGAAUACAUUUCUAAUAAAAAUCUUAGCAAAUUAAUAGUAGAAGAGCAUGUCUUGAUCUGAUGAUGAACAUCUAAGAAAGGCCUACAAAUAAAAAUAUGCUUAAGAAUAAAAAAUAAAAUAUUUUCUUCCUAACAGAAUUAAGAUGAGGAUUCUAGCUUCUCAGCAUUUCUACUCAACUUUGUAGUAGAGGAACUAGCUAGUGUAAUAAUCAAGAAAAUAAGUAGCAGGCAUCAAGUGUGAAAGGUAGAAAUAACAUUGUUUUUAUUUGUGGAUUGAAAAAAUAUAGCAUCAAAAACCAAGGUGAACUAACAACUGUGUUUAUCAAGGUUACAAUAUUCAAGAACAAUAGACAAUAAUCAAUUGUAUUUUUACAUAUUGUAUAUACUACCAAAAAGACUAGAAAUUGAAACUUAAAAGUAAUACUAAUUAAAUUACCAUCAAAAAUAUAAAAUACUUAAGAAUAAGUCUCUUUUAAAUGUGAAAGACCACUUCUACUCAUGGUUUAAAAAAGAAACAAAAAACUCUUAAUGAACUAGGAACUAAAAGGAAGUUCCUUAACUUGAUAAAGAAUAUCUGUCAAUAAAAUAGAAAAAUUCAAACAUUAAAAUAAUAUUAACCUCAUACUUAAUUGUGAGAAACUAGAAGUUUUUGCACUAAGACCAGAAAAAAGGCAAGAAUGCCCUUUCUCACCACUCCUUUUCAACAUUGUUCUUAAAGAAAUAGCUAAUGCAAUGCAAGAAAAAUAAACAAAAGCCAUACACUGGGAAUGAAGAAAUAAAGCUGCCUUCAUUCAUAGAUGACAUGAUCAUCUAUGUAGAAUAUAAAAGAAUCAACAAAAAAACUCAAUAAAUUAUAAAAUGGUUAUAGUGAGAUUGCAGGAUGCAAAUUUUGCUGUCUUACACAACAUCACUCUCUCUUAUGUACUAGUGAUGACCAAUUGGAAUUUACAAGUAGAAGCACAAUACCCUUUAUAUUAGCACCCCAAAGAUGAAAUCCUUAGGUAUAAAUUUAAUAAGCCAAAAGGCUCUUGCAAUUGAUAAAUGAUUUCAGUAAUGUUUCAGAAUACAAAGUAGAUAUACAUAAAUAUUCAUGCUGAGAACAAAAUUAAAAACAUAAUCCCAUUUAUGAUAUUAACAAAACACUAAAAUACCUAGGAAUACAUCUAACCAAGGUGGUGAAAGAUCUCUACAGGUACAACAAAACACUACUAAAGGAAAUCAUAAAUGAUAGAAACAAAUGGAAAAACACUUCAUGCUCAUGGAUUGGAAGAAUCAAUAUUGUUAAAAUGGCCAUAUCUCCCAAAGCAAUCUGUAGAAUCAACACUAUUUUUAUCAAACUACCCAUAUCAUUUUUCACAGAAUUAGAAAAAACUAUAGUAAAAUUCAUAUCAAAGGCCAAAAUAGCCAGAAUAGCUAAAAAAAAAAAAAAUUGAAGCAUCACAUUACACAACUUCAAACUCUACUAUAAGGCUACAGUAGCAAAAAACACCGUGGUACUUGUGGUACAAAAACAUACAUACACCAAUGGAACAGAAUAGAGAACCCAUAAAUGAAGCUACACGCCUAUAGCCAUCUGAUCUUUGACAAAGUCAACAAAAGUAGGGAAUGGAGAAAUGACUACCUAUUCAAUAAAUGAGGCUGAGAUAGCAGCUAGCCACAUGGAGAAUAAAAAUAGACCCCCACUUUUCAUUACAUACAAAAAUCAACUCAAGAUGGAUUAAAAUGUAAGACUCCAAACUACAAAAAUCCUAGAAGAAAACCUAGGAAAUAUCAUUAUAUACAUUGGCCAUGGGAAAGCAUAUAUGACUAAGGCCUCAAAAGCAAUUCCAGAAUCUCUGGGACACAUUCAAAGCAGUCUGUAGAGGGAAAUUUAUAGCACUAAAUGCCCACAAGAGAAAGCAGGAAAGAUCCAAAAUUGACACCCUAACAUCACAAUUGAAAGAACUAGAAAAGCAGGAGCAAACACAUUCAAAAGCUAGCAGAAGGCAAGAAAUAACUAAAAUCAGAGCAGAACUGAAGGAAAUAGAGACACAAAAAACCCUUCAAAAAAUUAAUGAAUACAGGAGCUGGUUUUUUGAAAGGAUCAACAAAAUUGAUGGACCGCUAGC